rnacentral:tRNA from 1 species
GCGGAGGUUACCGAGCCUGGUCAAAGGUGCGAGAUUCAGGGUCUCGUUCCGAAGGGAUUCGGGAGUUCAAAUCUCCCCCUCCGCA